AUUGAACGCUGGCGGCAGGCCUAACACAUGCAAGUCGAACGAGUGGCGGACGGGUGAGUAAUGCAUGGGAACCUGGCUUAUGGAGGGGGAUAACUACGGGAAACCGUAGCUAAUACCGCGUACCAUAGGAUGAGCCCACGUGGGAUUAGGUAGUCGGUGGGGUAAAGGCUCACCAAGCCGACGAUCUCUAGCUGGUCUGCGAGGGUGACCAGCCACACUGGGACUGAGAACCGGCCCAGACUCCUACGGGAGGCAGCAGUGGGGAAUAUUGCGCAAUGGGGGCAACCUGACGGAGCCAUGCCGCGUGAGUGAAGAAGGCCUUCGGGUUGUAAAAUUCUUUCGUUAGCGAAGCGUUAACUACAGAAGAAGCAACGGCUAACUCCGUGCCAGCAGCCGCGGUAAUUC
rnacentral:rRNA from 1 species